rnacentral:tRNA from 1 species
GGACAGGUGGCGAGGGUUAACGCGUCAGGUUUAGGCCCUGAUCUCUUCGGAGGCGCAGGUUCGAACCCUGCCCUGUUCA